rnacentral:rRNA from 1 species
UCAUACUGUGAACUGCGAAUGGCUCAUUAAAUCAGUUAUCGUUUAUUUGAUAGUACCUUUACCUGGAUAACCGUGGUAAUUCUAGAGCUAAUACAUGCUAAAAACCUCGACUUCGGAAGGGGUGUAUUUAUUAGAUAAAAAACCAAUGCCCUUCGGGGCUCCUUGGUGAUUCAUAAUAACUUAACGAAUCGCAUGGCCUUGCGCCGGCGAUGGUUCAUUCAAAUUUCUGCCCUAUCAACUUUCGAUGGUAGGAUAGUGGCCUACCAUGGUCUUAACGGGUAACGGGGAAUUAGGGUUCUAUUCCGGAGAGGGAGCCUGAGAAACGGCUACCACAUCCAAGGAAGGCAGCAGGCGCGCAAAUUACCCAAUCCCAAUACGGGGAGGUAGUGACAAUAAAUACUGAUACGGGGCUCUUUCGGGUCUCGUAAUUGGAAUGAGUACAAUCUAAAUCCCUUAACGAGGAACAAUUGGAGGGCAAGUCUGGUGCCAGCAGCCGCGGUAAUUCCAGCUCCAAUAGCGUAUAUUAAAGUUGUUGCCGUUAAAAAGCUCGUAGUUGAACCUUGGACCUGGCUGAUCUGUCCUCCUAAUCGAGCGCACGGAUUCGGUCGGGUCUUUCCUUCUGGGGAGCCCUAUGCCCUUCACUGGGUGUAGUGGGGAACCAGGACUUUUACCUUGAAAAAAUUAGAGUGUUCAAAGCAGGCCUUUGCUCGAAUACAUUAGCAUGGAAUAAUAGAAUAGGACAUCGGUUCUAUUUUGUUGGUUUCUAGGACCGCUGUAAUGAUUAAUAGGGAUAGUCGGGGGCGUCAGUAUUCAAUUGUCAGAGGUGAAAUUCUUGGAUUUAUUGAAGACUAACUACUGCGAAAGCAUUCGCCAAAGGAUGUUUUCAUUAAUCAGUGAACGAAAGUUACGGGAUCGAAGACGAUCAGAUACCGUCGUAGUCUUAACCAUAAACUAUGCCGACUAGGGAUCGGACGGUGGUUUUUUUAUGCCCCGUUCGGCACCUUACGAGAAAUCAAAGUUU